GGAGAGGUUGACCCCAGCGGGCUGCGGGGCCUGGUCUUGAAAACCAGCAGCGGUGAACAGUCGCAUCAGGGUUCGAAUCCCUGUCUCUCCGCCA
rnacentral:tRNA from 1 species